UACGGAGGGUGCAAGCGUUAUCCGGAUUUACUGGGUUUAAAGGGUGCGUAGGCGGGCUUUUAAGUCAGUGGUGAAAUCUCCGGGCUCAACCCGGAAAUUGCCAUUGAUACUAUUAGUCUUGAAUUAAGUUGAGGUGGGCGGAAUGUGUCAUGUAGCGGUGAAAUGCUUAGAUAUGACACAGAACACCAAUUGCGAAGGCAGCUCGCUACACGAAUAUUGACUCUGAGGCACGAAAGCGUGGGGAUCAAACAGG
rnacentral:rRNA from 1 species